GCUUGAUUCUUUAAUUUUGGCUGGUACGGUUCCUUCCGUUCUGUUCCGCCUUGGCGCCCUUGGCCGCGGGGGCAAUGUUUUUGUUUUCGUUCUACGUUCAGGUGUUGGGUGGCGACGUAUUAACCGUCGAUAACCAGCUGAAGCAGCUCAAGUUCUCGAGUGGAACGAGGUUGACCGUGCGCAGUGGCAGCCGUUGACAACAAAAACAAUGUAUGCACUCAGCUUCGCCGGAUGAGUGCCGGCGUCGAUCGCGAACCGCCAGAGCCGCCAAAUACCUCUCGUACAUCUCCAAGAACACCAAGAACAGGAGGUAUUCAUAAAGGUCUGAACCACGCGAGGAUCGUCUCGAAGCAUGGUAGCCUCAACAGACGCUUGCCGCCACACGCGAGGAGAAAGCAGGAGGCCCGAAGUUUGAAUGUGAAGAGGAGGUGCGAAGAGCUGGCCCUCACUUUUUCAAGGCAGCCGCAGAACACUACGAGCCCCGAAUCACUGCCGCGGCUGACUCACGCGGAUGCUGUGCUGCACCCUGCACUGCACAUGGUUCGAAGCACACUUCAGGGGACCAGUGCAUGCCCCUGAUGCAUCGUUGCG